rnacentral:rRNA from 1 species
AUUGAACGCUGGCGGCAUGCCUUACACAUGCAAGUCGAACGGCAGCGCGGGGCAACCUGGCGGCGAGUGGCGAACGGGUGAGUAAUAUAUCGGAACAUACCCUAGAGUGGGGGAUAACGUAGCGAAAGUUACGCUAAUACCGCAUACGCACUAAGGUGGAAAGUGGGGGAUUCGCAAGAACCUCAUGCUCAUGGAGUGGCCGAUAUCUGAUUAGCUAGUUGGUGAGGUAAAGGCUCACCAAGGCGACGAUCAGUAGCUGGUUUGAGAGAACGACCAGCCACACUGGAACUGAGACACGGUCCAGACUCCUACGGGAGGCAGCAGUGGGGAAUUUUGGACAAUGGGGGCAACCCUGAUCCAGCAAUGCCGCGUGAGUGAAGAAGGCCUCGGUUGUAAGACUCUUUGUCUAGGGAAGAACGGUAGAGUCUAUAAAGACUUGCUAAUGACGGUACCU